UGGCAAUGUCUCCUUGCCUGUAUCGAUGGAGGCACUCGAUCACGCUGUGGGUUCAUGGGAAUAUGAGCCUUAGACGCAUGUUGUCGUCAUUGGUGUGGUGUGAGGAGGGGUUCGAUGCCUC
rfam:Bacillus wakoensis JCM 9140 DNA, contig:contig_103.